rnacentral:tRNA from 1 species
UGCUACGUAGCACAAAGGUUAGUGCAUCCGACUGGUAAUUGGAAGAUGUGGGGUCAGGUCCAAGCGUGGAAG